rnacentral:rRNA from 1 species
UUGCCUGCACCUGCCGGCGACCGGCGCACGGGUGAGUAACACGUAUGGAACCUGCCCGCCACAGGGGGAUAACCCGGGGAAACCCGGCCUAAUACCCCAUGCCGCCCGGACCGGGCAUCCGGUCCGGGCGAAAGGAGGAAUCCGGUGGCGGCUGGGCAUGCGGCGCAUUAGCUUGACGGCGGGGUAACGGCCCACCGUGGCGACGAUGCGUAGGGGUUCUGAGAGGAAGGCCCCCCGCACUGGAACUGAGACACGGUCCAGACUCCUACGGGAGGCAGCAG